ensembl:lncRNA
CUCCUUGCAUUUUAUUUUUCAGGCUAUCUCAUUCAUCAAGCAACUCCACUUUGUGAAACAUAAAAUGAUACAUACAAAGUCAUUACCAGAUGUAUUUAUGGCUGAAAACAACAUUUUUCAAGAAAGGCAAACUGGCUAAAAAGUCCUGAAAGUAUUCAAAAGCAGUUAAAACAGUAGACACCCACCAGGGAUACAAAAUAACGUUUAAUACAAAUCCCACCUUUGAUCAGUAUGUCCUUAAAUGAAUUGCUUCUGAAAAAAAACAAAAAACAAAAAAACAAAAAAACCUUUCAAUGACACUGCCAGAAAAAUGAGGACAUUCGAACAGAUGCCAAAGGACUUAAAAGGGGCUCAAAUUUAUGUGAACCAGCCCUUAGACAUAGAGAGUCCUUUGGGGAGCUUGUGGCAAAUUGGUUUGAGGCCAGUUGACCUAGAACCAGUUUGGGAUGCGAGCACUUAUGUCCCUACACGUGCAAUCUGUGGGCACUGGGACAAGCAUGGCCCUUGGGGGAAAGGAAUGCCCCAAUAUGACCUCAAAGAGUCAGGGCAAAUUGUCAGUUUGUAACUCUUUAUUAUAAAGACAUAUUUACACAGAACAAUCUUUACAAACAUAGCGAACACGUUCAGGGGACAGGUUUGUUUGUUUUUUGUUUGUUUUGUUUUUAACUCAAAAGGCCUUAAUAUCUUUAUUUAAAUUAGUAUAAGAAUCAUACACACUUUAAAUAAGACAGCCCACCAGGCCCAUUUAUCUCUCUCUUCCUUUGCUAUCUGUCCUCUUUCUCAGCCGUAGUCCUCCUCUCUUCCCUGUGGGGCUGGCCAUGGCAGGCUGAUAAGGCAGGAGAUGCAGGAACCACAAGAGAAAGAAGGCCCAGUCCCUGGUAGGGGCACCAGCAGUAGAAGAGGCACCAGCCAGGCCCCACUUCAAGCCCAAGGGGUGAGGACCCUAUGCCUGGUCCAGAUCCCCCCCCCGGGGGGGGGGGCUCUGAAGUGGUGGCGGUAGCAGCAGCAGCAGCAGCAUUAGCAGCAGCAGAUGGGCAGGAAAGGCUUUGAGGAGGGGUGGAUAGGCAAUCCUGGAGUUACUAUGGGGCUUGGGGGUCCUGACUCCCCCUGCCCUACACAUAUACAAGUGAAUAUUAAGCUUCUGUUUUCUCUUUUCUCCCUCCUGGGAGGCCUCUGAGAAGAACAACUGCUCAGGCAAAAGAUAAGGGUCUCCCUUCACGGAGGGGCUGCAAAAGGCUCCUAGAAAGAGACUGUGCCUCCUGGUGGAGUGAUGAACCCCACCUACGUAUCGCUCCCAUCUCUCCUCCUUUCUUCCCCUUUCUCCAUCCUCUGACACUCCCCCAAAAGCCACAAGAACAAGGGUCCAGUCAACAUAGGGGCUCAUGACAACCAGUGUCAGGGGUUAAAUGGUAGUUUCAGUGCCUGAGAACCCCAAUUAAAGUAGCUUGAGCCUGAGCAUGCAGCUGAGACCUGGUCUGUGUGGGGGUACAUCUCACCAUUUAUGGACUCUUCUAGGCCAGGUUGGGAGGAGGACGUGCCAUGCUCACACAGGGCAGUUCACAGCUGGCUUGCCUCUCCUUCCUCAUCCUUCCCAGGUACCCUCUGCACUAAACCCAGAAAAAGGCACUUCAUUUGUUUUGAAAGGACAUCAUCAAGAGGAAAAAGGACAUCAUAAAGUGGGAGUUGGGAGACCUGGUCCCCAUUGAGACUCUGCAGUGGCUCUGAGCAGGUUACUUCCCUCUCCGAGGCCUCUGUUUGUGCAAGCUUUUGCAUAAGGAAACAAGCGAUCUUCAAGGUCCUUUGGGCUCUGACUUUCUGUAAUUUUUAUUUUUUAUUUUUUAUUUUUUGGCAAAAACAAGUAUCGUGCUUAGUUAGCUUUUACUCCUGGGAGAGUAUAGAACCAUGUCAGGCUCAGCACUCUCCCCUUCUGACCCGGACACUGAACUGGCUGCAGGAGAGUAGAGAGGACAAGGAUGUUAGGAGACACAGUGACAAAAUACUUCCUGGGCCCCUCUCCUUUGCCUCUUCCUUCACAGGGCCAGUGAGAGCUAAGGAAGAAGCCAUGGCAGCAAUUCCUCCUCAUCCCUUCACCAUGGCCACAUUUCAGUGUCCCCAGUGCACCUCCUCUGGAUCCCAACAUCCAAUCCCACUCAUCCAAAGUCUCUCAUUGCACAUAUCUGUACUCCCUUCUAAGUGAGAAGUCCAAUUGAUAAGCAAGUAUGAAUGUGCAGGAAUCCGUUGAAGAAGGGAGUGUUUCUGUCCAGUUCCCAGGAUACUGAGAAGAGGGAAGGGCCAAUAGAUAGGGACUAGAAUGGGGAACAGGCUGAGAAGAAGCUGGGUCUCCAAUGGCAGUCCAAGGAGUGGCCAGGAAGAUGGGCCAAACGGAUCCUUGUGAGAGAAAUGGAAUCUUCCAACUGAGGGGCAGGACCAUGCCAUUAGAGGAACUUGGUGGGUGAGAGGAGCCAGGAUCAUCAGCAGCCAUAACAGGUGCAAGAUGAGAGUCAGAUGGAUGUGAGGGUUAGAAUCUGUGGAGUAGAGAGAACGGCACCCGUCUGACACUUGGAGAGCUCUUCAAUCCUAAAGAGACAAAAUGAGCAGAGAGGAGUCACAGACACAUAGUAGGUCAGGGGAAUCCUCCAGAAAAAGAGAGGAAACAGAAGUCAUGGCCACUCCACACCUACUCCCAGGGCACCAAGUUGAUCCCCUUGUUUCUGACUUCAGGGGAAGGGGAAGCAGG